GGUGAUGAUGCAUAGCCGACCUGAGAGGGUAAUCGGCCACAUUGGGACUGAGACACGGCCCAAACUCCUACGGGAGGCAGCAGUAGGGAAUCUUCCGCAAUGGACGCAAGUCUGACGGAGCAACGCCGCGUGAGUGAAGAAGGUUUUCGGAUCGUAAAACUCUGUUGUAAGAGAAGAACAAAUUGUAGAGUAACUGCUACAGUCUUGACGGUAUCUUACCAGAAAGCCACGGCUAACUACGUGCCAGCAGCCGCGGUAU
rnacentral:rRNA from 1 species